rnacentral:tRNA from 1 species
GGGGUAGCUCAGUGGUAGAGUACUUGCCUAUCAUGCAUGAAGCCUGGGUUCAAUUCCUAGUAACUUCU